CAGCCGCCGCGGUAAUACGUAGGGGGCGAGCGUUACCCGGAUUCACUGGGCGUAAAGGGGGUGUAGGCGGCUCGGUAAGUCGGGUGUGAAAUCCCACGGCUCAACCGUGGAAUUGCGCCCGAAACUGCCGAGCUUGGGGCCGGUAGAGGGAGACGGAACUGCCGGUGUAGGGGUGAAAUCCGUAGAUAUCGGCAGGAACGCCGGUGGGGAAGCCGGUCUCCUGGGCCGCGCCCGACGCUGAGGCCCGAAAGCUAGGGGAGCAAACCGGAUUAGAUACCCGGGUAGUCCUAGCCAUAAACGAUGCCCACUAGGUGUGGGGGAGUAUUUCCUCCGUGCUGGAGCUAACGCGUUAAGUGGGCCGCCUGGGGAGUACGCCCGCAAGGGUGAAACUUAAAGGAAUUGGCGGG
rnacentral:rRNA from 1 species